CGAGGCGCAGGUCCGGCCGGGAGCAGAGCGCAGGUGAGAGCCAGGCGGGCUGGCAGCGAGGGCAGCUUUGCUGCACACGGGUGAGGAUGUCCCCUGCGCGGCGGGAGGCUGCAGCCGAGAUCCGCAGGGCUCCCAGAGACCAGCUCAGAGCAUUUCCCUCGGAGCGGUGACUGUCGCUCGUCUCUCAGGAACACUUCUCUCCGUGCUCAGGAGCAUCCUCUCCGGCCGAAGGGCUGGUUUUGUUCUUCAGCCAUCUUCAGAACCCCUGCUGCAGCCGUCUGCGUGCACAAGAGGUGCGACGCUGCAGCGGGCGAUGGGAUCCUGCGCCGGCCACCGCCUGUGUCCAAAGGCUGCUUGAAGCCUGCUGUGUGAGCAUAGCGGGAGCCGGGCAAGGGCUCUCCCUCUGUUCCCGCUGCUCACUGAGCGGGGCAAUGCUGCUUCAACAGGGAAAAUUCAGACCUGCAGAACGAGAGAAAGCAAAAUAGAAAAGCACUCGGUCACGAACACCUCCUGGCCUUUGUGCCCUUGCAUCGGGACUCACUGCAGCCAGUGUCUUUCUGAAUUGCAUCCAGCUGCAGACAGUCCCUGCGGGGCUCUAUGAAGAUCUUCCCCUCCCUCUGAGCCUCAGCUGUGUAACUCCACUCAGCUCCGAUGCGCUUUGUGCUCUUGCUCUUCGUAGCACUCCCUGACUCUCCGCAGGCUAUGCACUAACUAGCCACAAAUUUUUGGAACGUUGCUGGCUGAGAUGCAAAAUGACCUUCUUCACUUGGAUGGGCUGGGCAAGAACAACAGAUGGAGUUUCAGGUGUGUGAGUGUAUUUUGUUUGUUGGAGAACUAGCUGUUAGUGCAAAGCACAGAGGCAGAUCCCUGUGUUAAGAUGUGUCAAUGCUGGGGGUUUCCACUGAGUCCUUUUCACAAUCCUUAGCAUCCCCUCACUGCAAGGUGUGUCUGCUGCCUGCCUUCAAUACAAGGGCCUCAAGUCUUUAACGUGGAAUUAAGGUUACAAGGUCCCUUCAAAGUAACAGACUGAACCAAAGCAUCUGCCUUUGGCAUUUUCAUCAUGAAACAAUUUGGAGUAAAUUUUCCCUCAGGCACUAAAUGUACACUGCUCUAUUGAUCUUUCAGAGCUUGAAAUAAAAGUGUGAUUUUCCCAAAGCCUGCUUGAACUAAAUUAUUAUGAAAGACAAGAAAGGUAAAGCACUACCUUGCCUUAUUACUCUCCCCAUUGACUUUCACUUCAGAGCAAGACAUUCUUCUCCAGUCCGAACAUGCUCAUCAAGGACUGCACAGGCUGGGGUGGCUGCUCCAGCUAUUGUUUGAUCUUUACAAAUGGUGUCCUUUUAUUUUGGGGGCUGUUUUCCUGCAGCUCCUCACUAGAGGCUGUCAUUGUUUCUUUUAAAUCCACCUGCCCAUCUGUAUUUGUAAGCUGCUGCCAGAGGAACUCCUCUCUCAUGAAGAUUAAACCAGCACUAUAGAUGCUGCUUGGGAGACUCCUUUCAGUGAGGGCUUUGCUUUGCUAGGCUGUGUGAGGCCUUGGUGGCCAGUGUGAUGAUCUCUAGUACCUCUGGCAGCAUUUGUACAUUGCGAUGCACUGUUCGCUUCAAUAAAAGGAGACCUCUGAA